rnacentral:sRNA from 1 species
GCUGGGUGUUGUGGUGCCCACCUGUAAUCCCAGAAACUUGGGAGGUUGAGGCAGGAGGAUUUUAAGUUUGAGGUCAGCCUUAGCAAUUUAGCAAGACCCUGUCUCCA